rnacentral:rRNA from 1 species
UGGGGAAUAUUGCACAAUGGGCGCAAGCCUGAUGCAGCCAUGCCGCGUGUAUGAAGAAGGCCUUCGGGUUUUAAAGUACUUUCAGUCGGGAGGAAGGUGGUAAGGUUAAUAACCUUAUCAAUUGACGUUACCGACAGAAGAAGCACCGGCUAACUCCGUGCCAGCAGCCGCGGUAAUACGGAGGGUGCAAGCGUUAAUCGGAAUUACUGGGCGUAAAGCGCACGCAGGCGGUUGAUUGAGUCAGAUGUGAAAUCCCCGGGCUUAACCCGGGAAUUGCAUCUGAUACUGGUCAGCUAGAGUCUUGUAGAGGGGGGUAGAAUUCCAUGUGUAGCGGUGAAAUGCGUAGAGAUGUGGAGGAAUACCGGUGGCGAAGGCGGCCCCCUGGACAAAGACUGACGCUCAGGUGCGAAAGCGUGGGGAGCAAACAGG